AAGCGGUGGAUGAUGUGGUUAAUUCGAUGCAACGCGAAAACCUUACCACCUUUGACAUGUACGGAAUCCUUUAGAGAUAGAGGAGUGCUCGAAAGAGAGCCGUAACACAGGUGCUGCAUGGCUGUCGUCAGCUCGUGUCGUGAGAUGUUGGGUUAAGUCCCCGCAACGAGCGCAACCCUUGUCAUUAGUUGCUACAUUCAGUUGGGCACUCUAAUGAGACUGCCGGUGACAAACCGGAGGAAGGUGGGGAUGACGUCAAGUCCUCAUGGCCCUUAUAGGUGGGGCUACACACGUCAUACAAUGGAUGGUACAAAGGGUCGCCAACCCGCGAGGGGGAGCCAAUCCCAUAAAGCCAUUCGUAGUCCGGAUCGCAGUCUGCAACUCGACUGCGUGAAGUCGGAAUCGCUAGUAAUCGUGGAUCAGAAUGUCACGGUGAAUACGUUCCCGGGUCUU
rnacentral:rRNA from 1 species